UCUGGGCUGUGCGGAGGCAUGGAUCAAGAAUGCAAUUCAAGGGAAAAAAUACCCAGUUCAUUACCCAUAUGCCCUUUGGGUUUCAGACUACUGAAUCUUUAUAGCUUGAGCAAAGAAUCUUUGCCCAAAGAGCCUAACACAGAAUGUGAAGAACUAUCUUAAAGAGCAGUGAUGACUGGACACCCUUGCCUUGUUCGUGACCUUGGUGGCAAAUUUCUUCCACAACCUUGUGUUUUCAGCCAACCUCUAUCAUUAUAUUUGAAGAGAAUUUCCAGUAGACAUUGUAUUGUUGGAUCCUUUUUAAAAAUAAGUGUUCACUGGAGUGUCUGGGUGGCCCAGUUGGUUGCGUGA